GCACUGGAAUCAUCCAAAUUUCCACGCCUACUUCCCGACCGCAAACUCAUUUGCCGCGAUAUUAGGGGACAUGGUUUCAGAUGCAAUAGCAUGUGUUGGAUUUUCGUGGAUUGCCAGUCCAGCGUGCACAGAACUUGAGAUGAUGAUGAUGAAUUGGUUAGGGAGGAUGCUGAAGCUUCCUGCAUCGUUCUUAUUCAAUGAAGAGAGCCAAGGAGGGGGCGUUAUACAGGGCACAGCGAGCGAGGCGACUCUUGUAGCUUUGCUGGCAGCCAAGAUGAAAACAAUUCGACAGAAGAUAGACGAAGAUCCCAGUCUUGAUCAGUAUGACGUCAUGUCAAAACUUGUCGUAUACACUUCAGAUCAGGUAGGCCUAUAUAUCUCACUCAAU